rnacentral:lncRNA from 1 species
AUGGGUUACCUCCCCGUGCUGGGGGACCGCAGUGUGGGUUACACCUGUGCUGGGGGACCGCAGUGUGGGUUACCUCCCUGUGCUGGGGGAACGCAGUGUGGGUUACACCUGUGCUGGGGGACUGCAGUGUGGGUUACCUCCCUGUGCUGGGGGACCGCAGCAUGGGUUACACCUGUGCUGGGGGACCGCAGUGUGGGUUACACCUGUGCUGGGGGACCGCAGCAUGGGUUAGCUCCCCGUUCUGGGGACCGUAGCAUGGGUUACCUCCCUGCGCUGGGGGACCGCAGUGUGGGUUACACCUGUGCUGGGGGACUGCAGUGUGGGUUACCUCCCCGUGCUGGGGGACCGCAGUGUGGGUUACACCUGUGCUGGGGGACUGCAGUGUGGGUUACACCUGUGCUGGGGGACCGCAGUGUGGGUUACACCUGUGCUGGGGGACUGCAGUGUGGGUUACCUCCCUGUGCUGGGGGACCGCAGCAUGGGUUACACCUGUGCUGGGGGACCGCAGUGUGGGUUACACCUGUGCUGGGGACCGCAGUGUGGGUUACACCUGUGCUGGGGACCGCAGUGUGGGUUACACCUGUGCUGGGGGACCGCAGUGUGGGUUACACCUGUGCUGAGGACCGCAGUGUGGGUUACACCUGUGCUGGGGGACCGCAGUGUGGGUUACACCUGUGCUGGGGGACCGCAGUGUGGGUUACACCUGUGCUGGGGACCGCAGCGUGGGUUACCUCCCCGUGUUGGGGACCGCAGUGUGGGUUACACCUGUGCUGGGGACCGCAGUGUGGGUUACCUCCCCGUGUUGGGGACCGCAGUGUGGGUUACACCUGUGCUGGGGACCGCAGUGGUGCUGGCUGGGCCCUGCUGGCCGGAAAGGCCAGCUAUCCUCAGACGCGUGUCCAUUUCUCUGAGUACAAACUUCCGGCCAUUCCGGGACGGGAGGACUCAAUGGAUCAGCGAGUGUCUGCGUGGUCCCCGGAGCAAAAGACGCCCUAAUGGACGCUCAGGCCAGCCUCUGUGGCAGGCUGCACGCUCAGUGGCUGGGGAGCUACAGCAGCUGGUCUUGGCCACCAUGGCCCUCUGUCCUGUGCCCACCAGCUCAGCACUAGAAAGGCUAAUUCGGCAUUGCUGCCUGAGACAUUUGGCCCACUGGGUUUCUUAGUGCUUCUUCUGGGUGCAAACUCUGUGGUGGGUACAGCUGCACCACACAAGGGUCUUGGCUCUCAGCACUGACUCCCAUAGGUCCACUGACGCCUCUGUACCCAAAACCUCCUUGUCCUUUAUCUUCAGAUUUGCCAUAUAUAUGUUUAAAACGAUUUCUUGGCUUACCUGAAGGAGAUCUGUAUCUUCAUCCUCUAGUUCACUCCCUAAAUGGCUGCAACAGCCAGACUGAAGCCAGGAGCCUGGACUUCCACCUGGGGUCUCCCAUGUAGGUGGCAGGGGCCCAAGGUCGCGGGCCCCAACUGAGGGCAUCUUAACACUGCAUCAACCACCCGCCCACCAGCCAAUCAAUCGUUUUAAUAUUUUUGCUUCUACUCCCUUCCCUGUUAUCCCGAAUCUAGAGUCAGACAGGAGAAUGGAAACGCCACCCACCCGCAGCUCUUCCCGUGGGGAGGAUUCUCUCACCAGCAAGUUCAAAGCCACUCCUGAGUGAGUGUGCAUUGUGCACCGUGGUCUAAAAUGAGCCAUCCGUGAACAAAGCCUGGUAUCUCCAGCCUCUCCGACUGCCGGCCCAGGGCUUCGACACGGCUGCAGACCUGAGCCAACAGAAAGGCGCGUGCGGGCGGAGGCUGGAGGGGCUCGUGCUGACCACCCUCCCUGUGGCUGGCAGCAAGACCUUCCUCUGCUCCCACAUGUCCCGAGCUCACUUUCUCCACUUUACAGCAAACCUACAAUGAAAACUGUGGGGUAGAUCUGGCCAGGGACAGCACAGGCAGGUCUACAUGCUAGCAAUCUCUCUAUUAUUCCACGUUGCUUGUGUAGGUCUCCAUGCAUCCACUAGUAUUCCCUUCAGUAUCUUCCAAGAAAGGCACGGACAAGUGCAGCACUCACAGAGUAAAAUGGGCUAGGAGUGUGCAUGCCAAAUAAAUUCACUUAGGAAAGAGAAAUUUUAUCUAGA